AAGAGCUUGUGACCAACUUUCAUUUUUUUGGGAAGGUUUGCUGGUGGUCAGUUGUGAGGAGAGUAAAGUGCCCUGCUUCUACUCUGCAGCCAUCUUAACCUGGAAGUCUCAUCAAGUCAUGACUUUGGAAAGAACUUGCUCAAGGAUGAAACCAUAUAAAGCAGGACCAGAUGAAUGAAUGGAGAGGCAGUGUAACAUGGUGGAUAGUGAUGGACUUGGAGUCAAGAAGAUCUGUGUUCAGCCCCAUCUCAGGUACUUACCAGCCUUCUGACUCUGGAGUGAAGAGACUGGACGUUUUGGCUCUCUCCACUCUACAUCCGCUGCUUUGCCUGAUCAAGAUGCCCCUGGACCAGGUGCACAAUAGUCUCAUGGGAUUAUUACCUCUUUAGAAAGCUUCGGAAACCUUAAGCACCAUAAGAAUGAAACCAUCAUUAAGAAAAGAACAGUUCAAGAAAACUUCCUGAAUUCAAAUCUGGCCUUGUGUGACCCUAGGCAAGACACUUAACCCUGCC